AAUACUGUUUGUUCCUUAAUAUGACUAAUGCUUUUUUAACGAUAAUAUUUACAAAAAAAAUCUGGAGUAGCAAAACAUCUGUAUAAAUUGUAAAUUCUGUCUUUCUCUACAAAUUCACAUACAAAUUGGUACUUUCAUCAAUAAAACUUUUCAAUAUCCUUGAGUAGAGGUAUAUUAGACCAUGAAAGUUAUGAUGAAAACAUCAAAAUUAAUAAAAGUAAUCAUUACCAGUAAUAUAUAAUUAUGGGCCGAGUUGACCCGUGCCGAGUUGGAAUAGGGCCGAGCUGACACGAGGGACGAUUACGUUUUAGGGCUGAGCUUACCCUGAUUCUUAUUAAGUAUAAUAUAUUUUAUUUGUUUAGAAAUGUCUAUGAUUUGGGUCCAUCUUGUUGUGUUUGUACAAUUUGGAUUUAAAAAAAUCAGAAAUAUUGCUAAAAAAAUGACUGCUAGCAUUCAUGAAAGUUUGAUCACAUGAAAUAUUAAAGUUGUUAGUUUGUGUACAGCAACACAAUUCAGGUUUCAACAUCUUUUUUUCAUGUUAGUUAUAGAUCUACAUAUACUGUAUAAUUCUUAAAAUUUGGGUAUGCUGUGCCCUUGAUAGGUUACAUAUUUAGUUGUCUUGUACCUAGAUAGAAGUGCCCGGAUGUUGAUGAUGUCAUUAAGCCAUUUUUUUUUCCAGAAAAUGAGACCUCGACGCCAAAAGGAAGGUGUAAACCUUAAAGAGAAAACAAGUUGUGAGGAAAAACUUGAAGUGAAUUUCAUUGACUGCUACAAAGGUUCUGGUGUGUUUGCAGUGGAGGAUAUUGCUAAAGGUAAUCUUUUGACAUGGUAUGUUGGUGAAAUUAUCUCACAUGAAGAUGGUAUGAGAAGACAUACACAAUACAGUGAAAAGGAUGGAUCAUUUCUAUUCUUUUUCAAAUUCAAAAAGAAGAAACUGUGCAUGGACGCAACACAUUCAGCAGGCUUUGGGAGAAUGAUCAAUGAUGACCACAAGAAACCAAACUGCAAAGUUGUAGUAGAAGAUAAUGAUGGGCGACCAUCUUUGACCAUAUACAGCAUUAGACAAAUAACAAAAGGAGAAGAAAUUUGUUUUAACUAUCAGGAUUCUUCCGUACCCUGGAGAAAGAGCAAGAAAAAGGAUUGAAGUUUCAUUUUGUUUGCUCAGGAAAAGAAAAAAUAAAGGAGCAAUUAAGAAAUCUAACGAAAAAAUGUGGUGGAUGUUACAGUCCUGUAAUUGACAGUCACACAACUCAUGUAAUCAUGGAAACCGCGGAAAGUGGCAGCCGCAUUUGCGAAAGAACCAUUAAGUAUUUUAUGGGAAUAGCUCACCACUGCUGGGUACUUAGUCAUGAGUAUGUAGAAAAGUCAUUGGAAGCAGGAUACUACCUACCAGAGGAGGAAUAUGAAAUUCAAGGUGAUAGAAUUUAUUUCCAAGUGAUUGUGGAGCACAAAGGUCGAGGAUGUUUAAGGCGGAUCUUUUCCAGGGUGUAAAAUUCACAUUCACAGGAGAUGGUGAAUGCUUCAAGAAAGGUAAA